UAGUCCACGCCGUAAACGAUGGAUACUAGAUAUUGGAGAAUUUUUCUUCAGUGUCGCAGUUAACGCAUUAAGUAUCCCGCCUGGGGAGUACGGUCGCAAGGCUGAAACUCAAAGAAAUUGACGGGGGCCCGCACAAGCGGUGGAGCAUGUGGUUCAAUUCGAUGAUACGCGAGGAACCUUACCUGGGUUUGACAUGGGAAUGACAGGUGCAGAGAUGUACCCUUUUCUUCGGAAACAUUCUACACAGGUGCUGCAUGGCUGUCGUCAGCUCGUGUCGUGAGAUGUUGGGUUAAGUCCCGCAACGAGCGCAACCCUCGUUCUGUGUUACUAGCGGAUAAUGCCGGGGACUCACAGGAGACUGCCUCAGUUUUGAGGAGGAAGGUGGGGAUGACGUCAAGUCCUCAUGGCCCUUACGCCCAGGGCUACACACGUGCUACAAUGGCUGGUACAAAGGGUCGCAAUACCGCAAGGUGGAGCUAAUCUCAAAAACCAGUCUCAGUCC
rnacentral:rRNA from 1 species